UACGGAGGAUCCAAGCGUUAUCCGGAUUCACUGGGUUUAAAGGGUGCGUAGGUGGGUCUGUAAGUCAGUGGUGAAAUCUCCGAGCUUAACUCGGAAACUGCCAUUGAUACUAUAGGUCUUGAAUUAUCUGGAGGUAAGCGGAAUAUGUCAUGUAGCGGUGAAAUGCUUAGAUAUGACAUAGAACACCAAUUGCGAAGGCAGCUUACUACGGAUAUAUUGACACUGAGGCACGAAAGCGUGGGGAGCAAACAGG
rnacentral:rRNA from 1 species